GAAGGUGGAUUUAUUAGUAAUUAUAUUUUAUUAUUAUUUGGUGGAUUGUGGAAUAACAUGUGUACAUAUUGCCCGUCGCUCUCGUUUUUUGGAGAUAAGUCGUAACAUAGUUGAUUUACUGGAAAGUGAGUCUUUUUGA
rnacentral:rRNA from 1 species